AGAGUUUGAUCCUGGCUCAGAACGAACGUUGGCGGCGUGCUUAACACAUGCAAGUCGUACGAGAAAGUUCCUUCGGGGACGAGUAAAGUGGCGCACGGGUGAGUAACACGUAGAUAAUCUGUCCAGGUGUUUGGGAUAGCCCUUCGAAAGGGGGAUUAAUACCGAAUACGUUAGUCUAUCAUAAGGUAGAUUAAGAAAGGUGGCCUCUAUUUACAAGCUAUCGCAUUUGGAGGAGUCUGCGUACCAUUAGUUUGUUGGUGGGGUAAUGGCCUACCAAGACUUCGAUGGUUAGCGGGUCUGAGAGGAUGAUCCGUCACACUGGCACUGAAACACGGGCCAGACUCCUACGGGAGGCAGCAGUGAGGAAUAUUGCGCAAUGGGGGAAACCCUGACGCAGCGACGCCGCGUGGGUGAGGAAGGCUUUCGGGUCGUAAAGCCCUGUCAGGUGGGAAGAAAUGGUUAUAGGUUAAUAUCUCAUAGUUUUGACGGUACCACCAAAGGAAGCACCGGCUAACUCCGUGCCAGCAGCCGCGGUAAUACGGAGGGUGCAAACGUUGUUCGGAAUCACUGGGCGUAAAGGGCGCGCAGGCGGUUUGAUUAGUCAGAUGUGAAAGCCCACGGCUUAA
rnacentral:rRNA from 1 species